rnacentral:lncRNA from 9 species
CUCCUCUGUAUCUGGUAGCCUGGGUGCUAAUCUCAGCUCUGAUUCAUGGUUGGCUGUGUCUUCUUUGGAUUCCUUUUUUUUUUUUAAAAAACCUCUGAAGAGACUGACCUCUACCUUUUCGCAUGCAAAACAAACUCAGAACUGUGUUUCUGGUAGAAGUGGGGAAAAAAAAAAAAAAAAAAAAAAAACUGGCAAGGUUUAACCUGGUAUAUUAGAAAAGACGUGAGUUUUGGAGUCUGGUUAUAUGACCUCAGGUGGGAGCCUUUUGGAGCCUAUUUUCUCAUCUAUAAAAUGGGGAUAAUUGUACUUACUUCUUUGGCUGGUAAUGAGCAUGAAGUGAGAAAAUGCAGGAGCUUGACUAUAUAGUAGGUGCUUAAUGAAUAUUAUUUCCUUCCUCCCGUGGAGAAAAGCAGACUGAAGAAGUAGGGGAGUGGAGGAAUGGAACAGCUGAUCCAUCAAAUCCCUCAGGUUUGGGGAGCCAGAGGGAGGAGAAGUUCUCCAAAGAGAGAACAGAAAAUAACAGGGAAGGGUCAAGGGAAGGCAGAUUUUGGCUCCAUUUUAGGAAAACUACAAUAUGGAGGGAGUUGACUUUAGAGGAAGUGAGCUCCCCAUCACUCAAGGGGACCAAAGAGAGUCCCCAUACAUCUAUGGCUAAUUGAUUUUUUAAAAUUGUAGUAUAGUUUACUUACAACAUUGUGUUACUUUCAGAUAUAUAGCAAAGUGAUUCAAUUAUGUGUGUGUAUAUUCUUUUCCAUUAUAGGUUAUGACAAGAUAUGAAAUAUAGUUCUUUGUGCUGUAUAGUAAAUCCUUGUUAUUUGUCUAUUUUUAUAUAUGGUAGUGUGUAUCUGUUAAUCCCAUUCUCCUAAUUUAUCCCUCCCCCCAUUCCCCUUUGUUAUAUAAAUUUGUUUUCUCUGUCUGUGGGUCUGUUUCUAUUUUGUAAAUAAGUUAUUUAUACCAUUUUUUAAGAUUCCACAGGUAUGUAAUAUUUGUCUUUAUCUGACUUACUUCACUUAGUAUGAUAAUCUCUAGGUCCCUUAUGUUGCUGCAAGUGGCAUUAUUUCAUUCUUUUUCAUGGAUGAGUAAUAUUCCAGUGUGUGUGUGUGUGUGUGUGUGUGUGUGUGUGUGUGUGUGUGUGUGUUUGUAUGUCACAUCUUCUUUAUCCAUUCAUCUGUCAAUGGACAUUUAGGUUGUUUCCAUGUCUUGGAUAUUGUGAAUAGUGCUGCUAUUGGAGUACAUGUAUCUUUUUGAAUUAUAGCUUUCUUUGGAUAUAUGCCCUGGAGUGGUAUUGCUGGAUCAUUUGGUAACUCUGUUUUUAUUAUUUAUUUAUUUAUUUAGUUUUGUCUUUUAGGGCCACACUUGUGGCAUCUGGAAGUUCCUAGGCUAGGGGUCAAAUUGGAGCUGCAGUUUCUGGCCUAUGCCACAGCCACAGCAAUGCCAGAUCUAAGCUGCAUCUGUGAUCUAUACCACAGCUCACAGCAAUGCCAGAUCCUUAACUCACUGAACGAGGCCAGGGACCGAACCCAAGUCCUCAUGGAUAGUACUCAGGUUUGUUACUACUGAGCCACAACCAGAACUCCUAUUUUUAAAGGAACCUCCAUACUAUUUUCCAUACCAAAAAAAAUAUGAGUACACAAUUACUCUUUUCAGGGCCAGUGAAGCUCAAGAUACAGCAGAAUGUUUCCUGUUUGGAGCAUAUCUAAUGAUGUCUAUCCUUGCCACAGUUCUGUUUAUGAGACGGUGUUUUUUUUUUUUAUAUAUAAUGAUUUUUAUUUUUUCCAUUAUGGCUGAUUUACAGUGUUCUGUCAAUUUUCUACUGUACAGCAAGGUGACCCAGUCACAUAUACAUGUAUACAUUCUUUUUUCUCACAUUAUCAUGCUCCAUCAUAAGUAAUGAGAUAUAGUUCCCAGUGCUAUACAGCAGGAUCUCAUUGCUUAUCCAUUCCAAAGGCAAUAGUCUGCAUCUAUUAACCCCAAAUUCCCAGUCCAUCCCCUCCCUCACCCUCCACCUUGACAACCACAAGUAUGUUCUCCAUGUCCAUGAUUUUCUUUUCUGUGGAAAGUUUCAUUUGUGCCAUAUAUUAGAUUCCAGAUAUAAAUGAUAUCAUAUGGUAUUUGUCUUUCUCUUCUGUAGUCCCAUCCAUGUUGCCACAAAUGGCAUUAUUUUGAUAUUUUUUAUGGCUGAGUAGUAUUCCGUUGUGUAUAUAUACUACAUUUUCUUAAUCCAGUCAUCUGUUGAUGGACAUUUAGGUUGUUUCUGUCUUGGCUAUUGUGAAUAGAUAGCGCUGCAAUGAACAUGUCUUUUUCUUUUGCCUUUUCUAGGGCAGCUUCCAGUGGCAUAUGGAGGCUCCCAGGCUAAGAGUCUAAUUGGACCUAUAGCCACUGGCCUAUGCCAGAGCCACAGCAGUGUGGGAUCCGAGCUGUGUCUGUGACCUACACCACAGCUCACAGCAAUGCCGGAUCUUUAACCCACUGAGCAAGGCCAGGGAUUGAACCCGCCACCUCAUGGUUCCUAGUUGGAGUCAUUAACCAAUGCCCCAUGACGGGAAACUCCCUGAACAUGUCUUUUUCAAGCAAAGUUUUGUCUGGAUAUAUGCCCAGGAGUGGGAUUGCUGGGUCAUAUGGUAGUUCUAUAUUUACUUUUCUAAGGUCCCUCCAUACUGUUCUUCAUAGUGGUUGUACCAUUUUAUAUUCCCACCAACAGUGUAGGAGGGUUCCCUUUUCUCCAUACCCUCUCUAGCAUUUGUUAUUUUGUGGACUUAUUAAUGAUGGCCAUUCUGACUGGUGUGAGGUGGUAUCUCAUGGUAGCUUUGAUUUGCAUUUUUCUAAUAAUGAUGUUGAGCAUUUUUUCAUGUGCUUGUUGGCCAUCUAUAUGUCUUUUUUGGAGAAAUGUCUAUUCAGGUCUUUUGCCCUUUUUUCAAUUGGGUGGUUGGCAUUUUUGCUGUUGAGACCAGUGUUUUUAAGUUUCACCUUGAGCAAAGAGGUGAAGAGAAUUUUCAGAGGAGGUUAAGGGCAUGAAGGUAUUGCUGAUGAUGGACCAAAAUGGAAGUGCCCUGGUAGGUGGAGAAAAGCAAUUACGGAGUCAGAUUAAGUCAAUGGCUUCCAUAUUUAUUUUAUUUUAUUUUAUUUUUAUUUAUUUAUUUAUUUAUCUUUUUGCCUUUUCUAG